rnacentral:rRNA from 1 species
GACGAACGCUGGCGGCGUGCUUAACACAUGCAAGUCGAACGGAAAGGCCCUGCUUUUGUGGGGUGCUCGAGUGGCGAACGGGUGAGUAACACGUGAGUAACCUGCCCUUGACUUUGUGAUAACUUCAGGAAACUGGGGCUAAUACCGGAUAGGAGCUCCUGCUGCAUGUUGGGGGUUGGAAAGUUUCGGCGGUUGGGGAUGUACUCGCGGCUUAUCAGCUUGUUGGUGGGGUAGUGGCUUACCAAGGCUUUGACGGGUAGCCGGCCUGAGAGGGUGACCGGCCACAUUGGGACUGAGAUACGGCCCAGACUCCUACGGGAGGCAGCAGUGGGGAAUAUUGCACAAUGGGCGGAAGCCUGAUGCAGCAACGCCGCGUGCGGGAUGACGGCCUUCGGGUUGUAAACCGCUUUCGCCUGUGACGAAGCGUGAGUGACGGUAAUGGGUAAAGAAGCACCGGCUAACUACGUG